UACGUAGGGUGCAAGCGUUGUCCGGAAUUAUUGGGCGUAAAGAGCUUGUAGGCGGUUUGUCGCGUCUGCUGUGAAAUUUCGGGGCUCAACCCCGAACUUGCAGUGGGUACGGGCAGACUAGAGUGUGGUAGGGGGAGACUGGAAUUCCUGGUGUGGCGGUGAAAUGCGCAGAUAUCGGGAAGAACACCCGUGGCUAAGGCGGCUCUCUAGUACGGUACUGACGCUGAGACGCGAAAGCGUGGGGAGCGAACAGG
rnacentral:rRNA from 1 species